CGUAACCAACCUGCCCCAAAGAUCGGGAUAACCACUGGAAACGGUGGGUAAUACCGAAUGGUCUUUUCGAGAGGCAUCUCUUGAAUAGUAAACGGUAGCUUCGGCUUCUGUUUUGGGAGGGGGUUGCGGACUAUUAGCUUGUUGGUGAGGUAACGGCUCACCAAGGCGAUGAUGGUUAGCGGGUCUGAGAGGAUGAUCCGUCACACUGGGACUGAGACACUGCCCAGACUCCUACGGGAGGCUGCAGUCGAGAAUCUUCCGCAAUGGGCGAAAGCCUGACGGAGCGACACCGCGUGUAGGAUGAAGGCCUUAGGGUUGUAAACUACUGUCACGCAUUAGGAAUGCCGUAUCGUUAAUAGCGGUACGGUUGACCAACGCGAGAGGAAGCACCGGCUAACUCCGUGCCAGCAGCCGCGGUAAUACGGAGGGUGCAAGCGUUGUUCGGAAUCACUGGGCAUAAAGAGCACGUAGGCCGUCUAUUAAGUCAAAUGUGAAAUCCCUCGGCUCAACCGGGGAACUGCAUGUGAUACUGGUAGACUAGAGGACGGUAGGGGUGAGUGGAACUCCAGGUGGAGCGGUGAAAUGCGUAGAUAUCUGGAGGAACACCUGUGGCGAAAGCGGCUCACUGGACCGUCUCUGACGCUGAGGUGCGAAAGCUAGGGUAGCGAACGGGAUUAGAUACCCCGGUAGUCCUAGCCGUAAACGAUGGGCACUAGACAGGGGGAAUGCCUAUGAUUCUCUCUGUCGUAGCUAAUGUGUUAAGUGCCCCGCCUGGGGAGUACGCUCGCAAGGGUAAAACUCAAAGGAUUGACNGGGGCUCACACAAGCGGUGGAGCAUGUGGUUUAAUUCGAAGCAACGCGAAGAACCUUACC
rnacentral:rRNA from 1 species